CCUACGGGAGGCAGCAGUGGGGAAUUUUGGACAAUGGGCGCAAGCCUGAUCCAGCAAUGCCGCGUGCAGGAUGAAGGCCUUCGGGUUGUAAACUGCUUUUGUACGGAACGAAACGGUCUGCUUUAAUACAGUGGGCUAAUGACGGUACCGUAAGAAUAAGCACCGGCUAACUACGUGCCAGCAGCCGCGGUAAUACGUAGGGUGCGAGCGUUAAUCGGAAUUACUGGGCGUAAAGCGUGCGCAGGCGGUUAUAUAAGACAGAUGUGAAAUCCCCGGGCUCAACCUGGGACCUGCAUUUGUGACUGUAUAGCUAGAGUACGGUAGAGGGGGAUGGAAUUCCGCGUGUAGCAGUGAAAUGCGUAGAUAUGCGGAGGAACACCGAUGGCGAAGGCAAUCCCCUGGACCUGUACUGACGCUCAUGCACGAAAGCGUGGGGAGCAAACAGGAUUAGAUACCCUGGUAGUCCACGCCCUAAACGAUGUCAACUGGUUGUUGGGUCUUCACUGACUCAGUAACGAAGCUAACGCGUGAAGUUGACCGCCUGGGGAAGUACGGCCGCAAGGUUGAAACUUCAAGGAUUGACGG
rnacentral:rRNA from 1 species